UACGGGGGGGGUAAGCGUUGUUCGGAAUUACUGGGCGUAAAGGGCUCGUAGGCGGCCAACUAAGUCGGACGUGAAAUCCCUCAGCUUAACUGGGGAACCGCGUCCGAUACUGGAUGGCUUGGAUUUGGGAGAGGGAUGCGGAAUUCCAGGUGUAGCGGUGAAAUGCGUAGAUAUCUGGAGGAACACCGGUGGCGAAGGCGGGUCUCUGGGCAGAAACUGACGCUGAGGAGCGAAAGCGUGGGGAGCGAACAGG
rnacentral:rRNA from 1 species